rnacentral:rRNA from 1 species
UACGUAGGAUGCAAGCGUUGUCCGGAAUUAUUGGGCGUAAGGCGAACGUAGGCGGUUUCUUAAGAUUGGUCUUAAAGACCGGGGCUCAACCUCGGGAAUGGAUCGAUAACUGGGAGACUGGAGGACGUCAGAGGAAAGUGGAAUUCCGAGUGUAGCGGUGAAAUUCGUAGAUAUUCGGAAGAACACCAGUGGCGAAGGCGGCUCACUGGACCGGUAUUGACGCUGAGGUGCGAAAGCGUGGGGAGCAAACAGG